rnacentral:rRNA from 1 species
GUGGGGGAUAACCCGUCGAAAGACGGGCUAAUACCGCAUACGCUCUUCGGAGGAAAGCAGGGGACCUUUGGGCCUUGCGCUAGCCGAGCGGCCGAUGUCCGAUUAGCUAGUUGGUGGGGUAAAGGCCUACCAAGGCGACGAUCGGUAGCGGGUCUGAGAGGACGAUCCGCCACACUGGGACUGAGACACGGCCCAGACUCCUACGGGAGGCAGCAGUGGGGAAUCUUGGACAAUGGGGGCAACCCUGAUCCAGCAAUGCCGCGUGGGUGAAGAAGGCCUUCGGGUUGUAAAGCCCUUUCGGCAGGGAAGAAAUCGGCGGGGCGAAUAACCCUGCUGGAUGACGGUACCUGCAGAAGAAGCACCGGCUAACUACGUGCCAGCAGCCGCGGUAAUACGUAGGGUGCGAGCGUUAAUCGGAUUUACUGGGCGUAAAGCGUGCGCAGGCGGCCCGUUAAGACAGGUGUGAAAUCCCUGGGCUCAACCUAGGAAUUGCGCUUGUGACUG